rnacentral:tRNA from 1 species
GCCGCCGUAGCUCAGCCCGGUAGAGCGCCGGCCUUGUAAGCCGGUGGUCGCGGGUUCAAGUCCCGCCGGCGGCU